CACUCUGGGCAGUGGAUGACCUGGCCCGUGUGUCUCCUAAGAAUGCAGCUAGCUGUAGGAGUUAUCGUGACUGGCAGGAGACAUUGAUUACUGACAGUUUGAAUGCACUUGUGGCCCCAGGUUCAUCUUGAGACUAUGCCUGUCUGAGUGUCG
rnacentral:rRNA from 1 species